UCCUACGGGAGGCAGCAGUGGGGAAUUUUGGACAAUGGGCGAAAGCCUGAUCCAGCAAUGCCGCGUGUGUGAAGAAGGCCUUCGGGUUGUAAAGCACUUUUGUCCGGAAAGAAAUCCUUGGCUCUAAUACAGUCGGGGGAUGACGGUACCGGAAGAAUAAGCACCGGCUAACUACGUGCCAGCAGCCGCGGUAAUACGUAGGGUGCGAGCGUUAAUCGGAAUUACUGGGCGUAAAGCGUGCGCAGGCGGUUUGCUAAGACCGAUGUGAAAUCCCCGGGCUCAACCUGGGAACUGCAUUGGUGACUGGCAGGCUAGAGUAUGGCAGAGGGGGGUAGAAUUCCACGUGUAGCAGUGAAAUGCGUAGAGAUGUGGAGGAAUACCGAUGGCGAAGGCAGCCCCCUGGGCCAAUACUGACGCUCAUGCACGAA
rnacentral:rRNA from 1 species